UACGAAGGGGGCUAGCGUUGCUCGGAAUCACUGGGCGUAAAGCGCGCGUAGGCGGAUCUUUAAGUCAGGGGUGAAAUCCUGGAGCUCAACUCCAGAACUGCCUUUGAUACUGAAGAUCUUGAGUUCGGGAGAGGUGAGUGGAACUGCGAGUGUAGAGGUGAAAUUCGUAGAUAUUCGCAAGAACACCAGUGGCGAAGGCGGCUCACUGGCCCGAUACUGACGCUGAGGCACGAAAGCGUGGGGAGCAAACAGG
rnacentral:rRNA from 1 species